UCUAAUAAAUCCUUCAACACUACUUCUUUUUUUUUUUCUCUUCGACAAUUAAUCUUCAAAAAUUAUCUGUCUUUCUUUUCUCUCUAGGAUUGAAGAAGAAUCAUGAACAGAGAACCAUCAAAGAAAUCAAUGGGGUUCUUUGCUAUCCUUAAGGAAGCUCACAAACUUACAAACAAAAAAUUCUUUUCAGAAAUCAGCUUAACAAUACCUUUUGCUAUGUUUUAUAUACAAAUCUUCACAAUCAUCGAUACCAAGAUUUCUCCACAGAUUGAUUAUGGUCUAACCCGAUCCAUCUAUUUAAUCUUGGUGUUGGUUCUCAUUAUCUUGUCAACUUAUAAUGUCAUCUAUACCAUUGCUCGUUUCUAUAACUCCAAAGAUAUCACUUAUAUGAAAGUCAUUGGUGUUCUUAGUAGUGAAAACUACUGACAAGCCCAGUUUUCUGUUUUUUCCACAGAGAAACCCACGAAAAGAAAACUUAGUGCGCGCACCCAUUUUUUGAGAAAAAAUGUCUCUCACGCUCAUAUUUCUCAAAAUUAGUUGUUAGCUUCUUCUUCCUUCGUUUGUUUUUUCCUAUGCUUUCCUUCUCCCUUUGUCUUCUCUUUCCGUGUCUUUGAAGAAGAGGGUAGACUGAUUUCCCCUUCUAUUAAGCUUUGUAAUCUAAAAUUGGAUCCACUAUUUUCUGAAACAUAUAUACUGCGAAACUUUGUUAAAUCUUAAAGCCCUGAAGCUUCGCCUCUAACCAAGACGUCGAUAAGGUACACCACCAAUUCCGACUCCCUAGUUAAUCCUGAACCGGAAGCAGCUGAGAAUUGUAUGUAUAUUUAAGUUGUGACCAAUAAAUGUUUGUAAAAAUGUCGAUAUGAUGUUAACAUUAAGAAGCUAUUAUAAUAAUUAUAAUAAUAGUCUGGGUUGUUUCCCGUUUCAAAAUUUAUGCAACAAAGGAAGUAUUAAUUUCCGAAGAAGAGUCAUGACUACUUCAACCAUUUCCCCCACCAAAGUAGCAGGUGAAGAUUUCCGGUGGAGGGAGAUGCAAUGUAACAAACUGGAAAUGUAAAUAUUUUGCGCCUUUGAUCAUUCGUUGCAAGUUGUGAUGAUCUUUCCCUUUAAACUGUCUUUUUUAUGAGCUUUUGGACCGAAAUUAAAACCUCACUUUCCAACACUUGUCCUAGCUAGAAUUACCACCUCCACCUCCUAAUGAAGAUUGUACGUCAGUGUCAUGCACAGAGCCAUUUGUUAAUACACCUCCAUGAGCAUUUUGUGGAUGUGUUUGGCCAAUGCAAGUUGGACUCUGUUUUAAGGUUGCCUUAAUUUCCUAGAGAAAUUGGAGUUAUGUGAUGAGUUCAAGAUAGUUAUUGCAAGAAGAAGUUACAGGAAAUGAUUUGCUGUCGGGAAUGAAUGUAUGAUUGUUGUGUAAUACAUGGAAAGAGGAGUACGGAUUAUUAUUAUUAUGUAAUACAGGGAAAGAA